rnacentral:tRNA from 1 species
GGGCGCAUAGCUCAGCUGGUUAGAGCACUUCUUUUACAAGGAAGGGGUCUAAGGUUCGAAUCCUUAUGCGCCCA